ensembl:snRNA U6 U6 spliceosomal RNA
GUGCUUGCUUUGGCAGCACACAUACUAAAACUGGAAUAAUACAGAGAUUAGCAUGGUCUCUGCUCAAGGAUGCCAUGCAAAUAUGCACAAUAAACAUAGAGAAU